rnacentral:rRNA from 1 species
AUUUAAGUUGUUGCAGUUAAAAAGCUCGUAGUUGGAUUUCGGGCGCGGAAGUUCGGUCCGCCGUUUCGGUGUGCACUGUUGUUCUGCGUCUCUCUGCCGGGGACGCGCUUCUGGCCUUAAUUGGCUGGGACGUGGAUUCGGCGUGGUUACUUUGAGAAAAUUAGAGUGUUCAAAGCAAGCUAAAGCUCUGAAUACAUUAGCAUGGAAUAACGCGAGAGGACUCGGUCCUUAUUUUGUUGGUCUUCAAGGAUGGAGUAAUGAUUAAGAGGGACGGUUGGGGGCAUUCGUAUUUCAUUGUCAGAGGUGAAAUUCUUGGAUUUAUGAAAGACGAACUACUGCGAAAGCUUCUGCCAAAGACGUUUUCAUUGAUCAAGAACGAAAGUUGGGGGCUCGAAGAUGAUCAGAUACCAUCCUAGUCUCAACCAUAAACGAUGCCGACUAGGGAUUGGCAGGUGUUACAUCGAUGACUCUGCCAGCACCUUAUGAGAAAUCAAAGUUUUUGGGUUCCGGGGGGAGUAUGGUCGCAAGGCUGAAACUUAAAGGAAUUG